ACGCUGGCGGCAGGCCUAACACAUGCAAGUCGAGCGGUAGAGAGAAGCUUGCUUCUCUUGAGAGCGGCGGACGGGUGAGUAAUGCCUAGGAAUCUGCCUGGUAGUGGGGGAUAACGUUCGGAAACGGACGCUAAUACCGCAUACGUCCUACGGGAGAAAGCAGGGGACCUUCGGGCCUUGCGCUAUCAGAUGAGCCUAGGUCGGAUUAGCUAGUUGGUGGGGUAAUGGCUCACCAAGGCGACGAUCCGUAACUGGUCUGAGAGGAUGAUCAGUCACACUGGAACUGAGACACGGUCCAGACUCCUACGGGAGGCAGCAGUGGGGAAUAUUGGACAAUGGGCGAAAGCCUGGUCCAGCCAUGCCGCGUGUGUGAAGAAGGUCUUCGGAUUGUAAAGCACUUUAAGUUGGGAGGAAGGGCAGUUGCCUAAUACGUAACUGUUUUGACGUUACCGACAGAAUAGGCACCGGCUAACUCUGUGCCAGCAGCCGCGGUAAUACAGAGGGUGCAAGCGUUAAUCGGAAUUACUGGGCGUAAAGCGCGCGUAGGUGGUUUGUUAAGUUGGAUGUGAAAUCCCCGGGCUCAACCUGGGAACUGCAUUCAAAACUGACUGACUAGAGUAUGGUAGAGGGUGGUGGAAUUUCCUGUGUAGCGGUGAAAUGCGUAGAUAUAGGAAGGAACACCAGUGGCGAAGGCGACCACCUGGACUGAUACUGACACUGAGGUGCGAAAGCGUGGGGAGCAAAC
rnacentral:rRNA from 1 species